UACGUAGGGGGCGAGCGUUGUCCGGAUUUAUUGGGCGUAAAGAGCGUGUAGGCGGCCAGGUAGGUCCGUUGUGAAAACUCGAGGCUCAACCUCGAGACGUCGAUGGAAACCAUCUGGCUAGAGUCCGGAAGAGGAGAGUGGAAUUCCUGGUGUAGCGGUGAAAUGCGCAGAUAUCGGGAGGAACACCAAUGGCGAAGGCAGCUCGCUGGGACGUGACUGACGCUGAGACGCGAAAGCGUGGGGAGCAAACAGG
rnacentral:rRNA from 1 species